CACGUACUUCCUCCGUUUCAAAAUUCUUGUCUUAGAUUUAUCUAAAUAUGAAUGUAUCUUGUCAUGUUUUAAUAUUUAGAUACAUUCAUUUCUAAACAAAUCUAAGACAAGAAUUUUGGGAUGGAGGGAGUAGUAU
rnacentral:pre_miRNA from 1 species